AAACAGGUUAAUAUUCCUGUACUUGGUGUUACUGCGAAGGGGGGACGGAGAAGGCUAUGUUAGCCGGGCGACGGUUGUCCCGGUUUAAGCAUGUAGGCGGAGGUUCCAGGUAAAUCCGGUACCUUUUUAACGCUGAGGUGUGAUGACGAGGCACUACGGUGCUGAAGUAACAAAUGCCCUGCUUCCAGGAAAAGCCUCUAAGCAUCAGGUAACACGAAAUCGUACCCCAAACCGACACAGGUGGUCAGGUA
rnacentral:rRNA from 1 species